AGAGUUUGAUCCUGGCUCAGGAUGAACGCUAGCUACAGGCCUAACACAUGCAAGUCGAGGGGAAACGACAUCGAAAGCUUGCUUUUGAUGGGCGUCGACCGGCGCACGGGUGAGUAACGCGUAUCCAACCUGCCCACCACUUGGGGAUAACCUUGCGAAAGUAAGACUAAUACCCAAUGAUAUCUCUAGAAGGCAUCAGAAAGAGAUUAAAGAUUUAUCGGUGAUGGAUGGGGAUGCGUCUGAUUAGCUUGUUGGCGGGGUAACGGCCCACCAAGGCGACGAUCAGUAGGGGUUCUGAGAGGAAGGUCCCCCACAUUGGAACUGAGACACGGUCCAAACUCCUACGGGAGGCAGCAGUGAGGAAUAUUGGUCAAUGGACGAGAGUCUGAACCAGCCAAGUAGCGUGCAGGAUGACGGCCCUAUGGGUUGUAAACUGCUUUUAUAAGGGAAUAAAGUGAGUCUCGUGAGACUUUUUGCAUGUACCUUAUGAAUAAGGACCGGCUAAUUCCGUGCCAGCAGCCGCGGUAAUACGGAAGGUCCGGGCGUUAUCCGGAUUUAUUGGGUUUAAAGGGAGCGUAGGCCGGAGAUUAAGCGUGUUGUGAAAUGUAGAUGCUCAACAUCUGCACUGCAGCGCGAACUGGUUUCCUUGAGUACGCACAAAGUGGGCGGAAUUCGUGGUGUAGCGGUGAAAUGCUUAGAUAUCACGAAGAACUCCGAUUGCGAAGGCAGCUCACUGGAGCGCAACUGACGCUGAAGCUCGAAAGUGCGGGUAUCGAACAGGAUUAGAUACCCUGGUAGUCCGCACGGUAAACGAUGGAUGCCCGCUGUUGGUCUGAAUAGGUCAGCGGCCAAGCGAAAGCAUUAAGCAUCCCACCUGGGGAGUACGCCGGCAACGGUGAAACUCAAAGGAAUUGACGG
rnacentral:rRNA from 1 species